rnacentral:rRNA from 1 species
UACGUAGGGUGCGAGCGUUGUCCGGAAUUAUUGGGCGUAAAGGGCGCGUAGGCGGUUUGACAAGUCUGAUGUGAAAUCUCUGGGCUCAACCCAGAGUCUGCAUUAGAAACUGUCGGGCUUGAGUAUGGGAGAGGUGAGUGGAAUUUCCGGUGUAGCGGUGAAAUGCGUAGAUAUCGGAAGGAACACCUGUGGCGAAAGCGGCUCACUGGACCAUAACUGACGCUGAGGCGCGAAAGCUAGGGGAGCAAACAGG